rnacentral:rRNA from 1 species
UAGGGAAUUUUGCGCAAUGGGCGAAAGCCUGACGCAGCAACGCCGCGUGAGUGAUGAAGGCCUUCGGGUUGUAAAGCUCUGUCAGGGGGGAAGAAACUACUGGAUUAAUACUCCAGUACUGACGGUACCCUCAGAGGAAGCACCGGCUAACUCUGUGCCAGCAGCCGCGGUAAUACAGAGGGUGCUAGUGUUGUUCGGAUUUACUGGGCGUAAAGGGAGUGUAGGUGGUGGUUUAAGUCAGUGGUGAAAAUUCGGGGCUUAACCCCGAACUUGCCUUUGAUACUGAAUCACUUGAGUAUGGAAGAGGUCGAUAGAAUUCCUGGUGUAGCGGUGGAAUGCGUAGAUAUCAGGAGGAAUACCAAUUGCGAAGGCAGUCGACUGGGACAAUACUGACACUGAAACUCGAAAGCAUGGGGAGCAAACAGG